UACGUAGGGCGCGAGCGUUGUCCGGAUUUAUUGGGCGUAAAGAGCUCGUAGGCGGCUUGUCGCGUCGUCCGUGAAAACUUGGGGCUCAACCCCAAGCUUGCGGUCGAUACGGGCAGGCUAGAGUUCGGUAGGGGAGACUGGAAUUCCUGGUGUAGCGGUGAAAUGCGCAGAUAUCAGGAGGAACACCGGUGGCGAAGGCGGGUCUCUGGGCCGAUACUGACGCUGAGGAGCGAAAGCGUGGGGAGCGAACAGG
rnacentral:rRNA from 1 species